AGCAGGUCACGUGUGGUGCAGC
rnacentral:miRNA from 1 species